UACGAAGGGGGCUAGCGUUGUUCGGAAUUACUGGGCGUAAAGCGCGCGCAGGCGGUCUUCCAAGUCAGUGGUGAAAGCCCGGAGCUCAACUCCGGAACUGCCAUUGAAACUGUUAGACUUGAGGACGAGAGAGGUGAGUGGAAUUCCGAGUGUAGAGGUGAAAUUCGUAGAUAUUCGGAAGAACACCAGUGGCGAAGGCGGCUCACUGGACUGGUAUUGACGCUGAGGUGCGAAAGCGUGGGGAGCAAACAGGG
rnacentral:rRNA from 1 species